GGGGCAGUAGCUCNNGCGUCGUUCGCAAUGACGAGGUCAGGGGUUCGAUCCCCCUCUGCUCCACCA
rnacentral:tRNA from 1 species